rnacentral:lncRNA from 1 species
UGUAUCUAAAAAUGUGGAAUAAUUUAAAUAGUGCCAGCUAUUAAUAGGAAACCUAAGUAUACUUGCCAUCUGGUGGCGUCCCAUCAGUAACCUACGAGCUCUUUCGUUGGUCUCACCACGCUUCACAUUGCUGCACAUUGCGCGUAUAUGGCGUCUUGCUGCCAUUCCGCUUUGCAGGCAAAGGAAGCAAAGAAAACUCGGUUUCAAAGAAGUUUCUUGUAUGGUGUUAACAGUGUUCCCUAAAACACCGUUGUAGAAAUGUUUAACUAUUAUAUAUGGAAUCUUUGUUGUAUUGUUUACGUAAAAACUUCCAUCAAUUGUCCACGAAUAAUCACAAAAUUGGGUGAGAUAUUCAAUUCUGCAUUUCGAAGAUGAUUAAAAGAAAUUUCUUGGUAUGGAUAAGAAAAUUCCAACUACAAAUGGUACAGAUUCUCAUAAGCCUUGCAUUGCAGUGAUGUGACGAUUUGGCAGCACUGAGUAAAUGUCUUUGGUUUGAGGUACCUUCCGUUUCGUGUAUCUUCCAUUUGGGGCAUCCUUAGUUCUGGAUACCUUUUGUUGGUCUUUAUUUUUGAGCUAUCUUUUGUUGGAUACUAUGUUAAUUGUUAUAUUAUGGGAGGAAGAUUGGAGUUUGGCGAAACAUUAAUAGAUUCAAAUCUAGAAACAAAGAAUAAAAUACAAUCUGCAAUUCCUCCAGGAAUUUCAUAAAAAAGCUUGUGUGCGAAUUGCACGGAUUUAAUAUGGUUAAUCAUUAUGUAACAAUGGAACUUUCUUCAGUAGAUCUAUCAAAUUAAUUUCAAAAAAAUUCGGAUGAGAUGUUAAUGCUGAAUUGAUGAUAUUGAUAAUAUUAUCAGACCAACAAUGUACAUAAAUUUGUGUAUUAUUUCUACAAUAUGCUGCUGAGAUAUCUCAAAGAUUUCAUAUUCGUGAUAUGUAGUUAGGAAUCAGUCUUUUAUGGCUGUGCUAUGGAUUAGUACGCAAGCGUUCUACCAAGAAUAAUUGCUUGAGAGAACUUGAAUAAUUCUUUGUGAAACGCAUGUGUAUGUGCAACCUAUAUGUUUUGGGAUCUGCUUUUUUGGCAGUUUGUUUUGUUAAAAUUCCCAAAGUGUACCUUCCUUAUAAGUUUGCUUAUUUUUGUUUGUACUGGACUAUUAUCUACCUGUGUACACAAUUAUUUUGUCCAGGUCUCUUUGUCACUAUUUAUUCUAAGUCAUUCAAACAUUUCUAUAAGCCUUAAUUAUAAAAUUAUUAAAACCAAGAUCCAAGAUUUACAUUUUCUACAGUGGCGUAUAGAUUAUCAUGUUCAAUUGAACUUAUUAAACCCAAUGUUUUGAAUGUUACGAAUAUCAUGCUUGAGUAUUUUUCUUCUUCUGAGAAAAUGUUAUAGUCCAAAGCAGUAUCACAUUCCCCUCUACGUUUCAUUUUCAUCUGCGCCCAGUGACAUGACGUUGUAUUGGUGCCCCAUAGUGGGACGAAUCCAAAAUCUAAAUACCCAUAAUUAUUAAAACUACGAUAAAGUUGCAGUUGGUAAAGUAAUAAAAAAUAUAGUUGGAAUACAGAUGUAGAUAAACAGGAUCUAGUUUCUAGGGGUAAUUUCAUAUAUCUAUUAUAUUGGUAAUAUCGGAAAUAGCUAUGAGUUACAAUGUUUUUAACGAAUACAGAUUAUUAAUUUUUAACUGGUAGGCGCUGGUUAACAACAAAAUCUUGCUUUAAGUUCCAAUAAACUUUAUUAUCAAACUUAAUAUAUGUAUAUGUUACAGUUAAAACGCGUUUUCGGUCAAAACUAGACCACAAAAUUCAGUUAUAACUAGUUUUGACAGCAGUCUACGAUUAAAAUACGUUUUGACUGACAAUACUAUUUUUAUCUGAAAAAUACCUGUCAAAAAGGGUUUUGACUGAGAACGUUAGUCAAAAGUAUAUUCAUCAGUAAUUGCUAGGCAAAACUCUUUUUUGGUUAGAGGAGACGAGAGGGGGAGAGCAGAAGCAUUAGUAGGUGAGAGAUAGACUGGUGUGAGCAACAGGAAAGGAAGAAAAACCAUCUGUUUUUUUAAUGUUUUUUUUGUAUGCAGGCAUCUAAACUAAACUAUUUAUUUGCGCAACUUAAACUAUUAUGGCACUUAGAAUUAUAUAAUAGUCCUUUUUUCUUACAUAAACAUUUAUUAUUGGUACAACCUUUAAAACAAACACAUCUUGCAUAACCUUGCCCUGUUCCUAUAGAAGCUUUCCUGGCAGCAGUUCUUAAAGUAAUUGUAACGUUUGGCACUUCAUCACGACGGAUGAAUUUUUCGCUACAGCCAUCAAAUUCUGACCUAUUAAA